UCAGUGUGUUGUACAGAGCGAAUGGCCUCGGACCUUCAAUGGCUGUGCACUGCUUUCUCAGGACUUUCCCUCAAAGGGAAGAACUGACCCUUAUCUCUUUCCCUUUUCUCCACCAUUAGAGCUCAGAGAUCCCAAGAGGCAAAGCGGGGAAAGUUUUAGAAAUCAUUUCACUCUGGAAAGCUUUCAGAUCACAGAUUCCUGCUCAUAAGUGGAUAAAUGAUGCAGUAAAAUUGAACAAACACAGCUCGUCCUACAUUCUGAAGAUGGGGCACAUUUAUCAGAAGAGAAAAACUGCCAGAGAGAAUUCACAUCAGUGCAGACCGAGAGUCUCAGAUGGCUAAGAGAUGUGCCUGACAACUUUUCAGAAAUAAGACUAUUAAAAGAAGGUCAGCUUGGAGUCUUACUGCGAAGAGUUGGCAUGGUGGUUAAAUUUUUCUAAAACAGUCAUAUUAAUGUGUUCAAAAAUCCACUGCUGAGUCUCAGAGAGAGGGUCACAUCUGGC
rnacentral:lncRNA from 1 species